GGCCCAGCGUAACCGCGAGGAGGGCGGGAGGUGACACGCGGAGGAAAGCUCGCACCCAGCCCAGCUGGAGCUGCAGCGGGCUCAGCGCCAGCGCCUGAACGAAAUGAGGCGGCGGGAGCGAAAACGGGGGCUCCACGACUCUCCGAGUUAUCAGCGAGACCCUAAAUCCUGUAAACCACCCAUUAAAACGCCAUUGGAGGAAGAGGAUGGAGACUGGUGGAAUUCACAAUCCGCUUUAGUGAUUCUCAGCCCUCUCCCCCCAGCCUCAAUGUCAGCAAACCUGAUUCUCACAUUCUGAAUGUAUAUAAGAAAUGAGGAGGGCUGAACGGAGACAUGGUUUAAUUUCCCUUCUCAGAAGAUUCUUUGAUUUACAAAAGGUAGCCUCACAGGAUUUGUGUAAACAUCAGGCCAAGUGUCUUUAAUUCAACCUAAUCAUCUCCAAGGCAACGGAGGAGAUCACGGAUUUCCCGGCUGGCUUACCUGCGGGCGGCUGUGGGGCUGACACCGCCCCGCCACACGGGGGAGCUGCCGCGCUUCGGGGGCGCAGGGGACGCUGGGAGCGGCUGUUCAGAGAGGAGCCCGGGAGCCGUGGCCAGCGAAGGAGCGUGGGCUUCUCUGGGUCAGAGGCUGCGUCUUCGAGCUCCGUCGUCUUCGGGAAGAAUGAGGACAGCUCUCUUCUGGGAACAGUUGGUCCUAGCGAUUCUAGGAGCACCUGGCAAGAAGAGGCUGCUGCCUGGAGUCCAGAACUGAAUGAAUCAACCCUCUGAAGUCAGAACAGUGUCUGAAUGAUGAGCCCCCAGGCAGAUUUCAAGAUACAGAACAUUUGGUGAGUUCGAAUAUUGUACCAGGAGCUUCUUGUUUGCUCUGCAGGUUAACCUCAAACCUAGAACUUUCUGGGAAAGGAGAAACUCUUGGGCCUUAAUACUCAAUAUCUUUGAAAAGCCCUCUUGCACUCAUUCACCGGCAAAUGUGGUCAGAUUCUGGCUGUGAGUGGUAGUUGUUCUGAGGACUAGGGAAGGCAAAGGAGUUUAAACACCUAAGUCUCUGUCCUAGAGGAGUGCUCAGUUUUAGGGAGACUGGCAUACAUACAUACAAAUUGAUAUAAUGAAAUUAAAUAAAAACUUAGUGCCAUGAGAAGCAUUUGUUCUGUCUUUCAGCAGAUUCUACUGAUCAUCUGUUGUCAGCUAGACAUUCUGUUUGCCCUGUUAGGAAGUUUAGGCUUCAUCCUGUGGGCACUGGAAGUCAUUAAAAUGUUUAAAGAGGCACCAGCUUGACAAGACUGUGCUUUAGAAGGGCCUGUCUGUUAUAAGGUGGCAAGAAUAGAGUCAAAGCAACCAAUGGCAGUUGUGUUCAUGAUCAAGGCAAGUGGCCUGAACUCAGGCAGAGGAGCAGAAAUGGAGGGAUGUGAACAAGUUUGAGGAAGUACCACUGGAGAAUUUGGACACUGACGAGAUGCAAGGAGCGGGGAGCGAAGGGGAAAACCCUAUGACAGUGAUGCCACAGAAGAUGGGUGUGAGCCCAAGUUUGAGGGGACAUCUAGACAUAACACUGGGAGAUAAAACUGAUGUCCUGAUUCCAGUUAAGACAAGAAGCAGAGGGAACUUUCAGGGAGAAUUUAAAGAUCUAGGGGAGUUUGCUUGUUCUGUAAGGCGGUGUUUUCUGCAAUGGAUCUUGACCCAUCAGUGGUUCAAGAAAUCAAUUUAGUGGGUUUUGAAUAGCAUUUUUUUUUUUUUACUUUUUAAAGCAGUUUUAUUGAAGUAUAAUUUACACACCAUAGCAUUCCCCUUUUGUAAGUGUACAGUUCAAUAAUUUUUAGCCAAUUUAUACAGUUGAUCCUGAACCACACAGGUUUGAACUGCACAGGUCCACUUAUAUGCAGAUUUUUUUUCAAUAAAUAUAUUGGAAAUUUUUCUGGAGAUUUGUAGCAAUUUGAAAAAACUUGCGGACAAAACCAUGUAGCCUAGAAAUAGCAAAAAAAUUAGGGGAAAGUUGUGUCAUGAAUGCAUAAAAUAUAUGUAGAUACAAGUCUCUCCUUACAUAGGCACAGAAUAAGUCUUAUUUGAUAUGAAAUUAAUAAUGUUAAGGUUUUUUUUUUAUUGUUUAAAAUUUUUCUUUCAAAUAAUUACAUUACCGUACAGUAUGCCUCUCUCUCUCCCAUAAUUGGAGCCUGUCAAACAGGUAAGUGUGUUUUUUUUUAAUUUCCAAUAUUGUAUUAUGAAUAUGACUAUAAUACUCUAUGCACAGUUUUUACAAUGAUUCUCUCAUUGGUGUAUAGACCAGGCUACCAUGAAGCAACUGUAUAGAUUACAUCAGGCAACCAUGAAACAAUCAUAUUGCUGCUUCAUUAUCAAUUGUUAUAAAUAUGACAUUUUUCAUAUUAUCUUUUUUUUUUUUUCUUUUUUUGCUUUUUAGGGCCGCAUC